GCGGCCUAUCAGCUAGUUGGUGAGGUAGUGGCUCACCAAGGCGACGACGGGUAGCCGGCCUGAGAGGGCGACCGGCCACACUGGGACUGAGACACGGCCCAGACUCCUACGGGAGGCAGCAGUGGGGAAUAUUGCACAAUGGGCGAAAGCCUGAUGCAGCGACGCCGCGUGAGGGAUGACGGCCUUCGGGUUGUAAACCUCUUUCAGCAGGGAAGAAGCGAAAGUGACGGUACCUGCAGAAGAAGCGCCGGCUAACUACGUGCCAGCAGCCGCGGUAAUACGUAGGGCGCAAGCGUUGUCCGGAAUUAUUGGGCGUAAAGAGCUCGUAGGCGGCUUGUCACGUCGGUUGUGAAAGCCCGGGGCUUAACCCCGGGUCUGCAGUCGAUACGGGCAGGCUAGAGUUCGGUAGGGGAGAUCGGAAUUCCUGGUGUAGCGGUGAAAUGCGCAGAUAUCAGGAGGAACACCGGUGGCGAAGGCAGAUCUCUGGGCCGUAACUGACGCUGAGGAGCGAAAGGGUGGGGAGCAAACAGGCUUAGAUACCCUGAUAGUCCACCCCGUAAACGUUGGGAACUAGUUGUGGGGUCCAUUCCACGGAUUCCGUGACGCAGCUAACGCAUUAAGUUCCCCGCCUGGGGAGUACGGCCGCAAGGCUAAAACUCAAAGGAAUUGACGGGGACCCGCACAAGCGGCGGAGCAUGCGGAUUAAUUCGAUGCAACGCGAAGAACCUUACCAAGGCUUGACAUAUAGAGGAAACGUCUGGAAAC
rnacentral:rRNA from 1 species